UCAUUUGAACAUUUCGUGUAGUACAGUGUAGACUGUAGCUUGUGUUCUUUUACAGUGAAAUAAAUAGAGAUGGUUUCAAGGCGUUUGUUGCGCGCGCGCCUACGUCACUAGAUUUUCCCGCUGUGACAAACCGCAUUAAGUAUUUGACCUGACUCAUUUGUUGCCAUUUUGGAUUUCAUAAGUACGAUAUCACCAUACGUAUCGCCCGCUGUCUCGGCUUCCAUUUAAAGAAGCAACAUAGCAAGAAAUGGGGCUCUGCUUUUCGUUUGACUGCGGGGACUGUGACCUUUGCUGCAAUCCGUGUUGCCUGGCCCUCAGCGCCUGCUGCCUGGUGCCCUGCCUCUGUCCAAACGCUUGCGGACAGCAACAACAACAACCGCCGCCCACAGUGAUAGUUCAACAACCACCCGUGAUAGAACAACCUCCGCCGCCACCUGGCUACCCCUAUCCCCCACAAGGCGGUUACCCCGGCUACCCACCACCUGGAGGAUACCCACCACCUGGAGGCUACCCCCCGCAAGGAGGCUAUCCCCCACAAGGAGGCUACCCGUACCCAGACCAUAUGCACAGAUAACCGAACUCUAGAAAUCUCAAAAUCUUACAACUAUAUUAAGAAUGGGUUGUAACAUAUCAUGUCGUCCGUGUUGCUGCUGCUGCAUCCCCUGCCUCUGCUGCGACUGCUGCGCCGACCCCCCUCGCCCCGCCGUCAUCCAUCAGCACCAUCAUGUUAACGUGGUCCAAGUGCCGCCCGCACGCAACGGACAAUUCCAACCUCCUCCACCGUAUAAUAGAUAACGUCGUAAACCUACAUAAUACAUUAGUAACAGUGGCGGAGCUAGGUAACCAAGGGCCCUGGUGUAAAAAAUGGGGCCGCACUGCUAUAAUAUAAACUGGUUAGGUGUUAUCAACUAAAAAUAACUUAGACCAAUUAUAGGAGGACCUGUAUCGCACUCAUAGUCACGAACAAAGUUGUCUGUCAUUUUCUGAGGAAAACGAGCUUAGAUUUUGUAUAUAUCUUAUACUAAACUAGAAGUUUUUGCCCGUUUUUUACACAAUUCAAUUACACAAAAAGGUAUUUUUACGGAGCUCUUUAACCGACGAACGCGAUAACAACUAUUUAACAUCGAUUCUAUAGAGACAGUUCUUAUAAUCGCAUUAGAUCGUUGAUCAUAUACUUUAACAGAAAAGUAACGUCUAGCGAGGCAGGCCCUAUACAUUAAUUGGUGUGAGAAAAAUAAUCAUCAGCUCUUUUUAGUUUUUGUAACUUUCUAAGUUCAUUCAAGGGCCCCCUGGGUAUUGCACCGUCUAGCCCCGUCUAGCCCCGAGCUACACCAUUGAUUAGUAUGGACAAUUCUAACCUCCACCACCUUAAGUAAUAAUAGAUAACAAUGACGUAAAUCCUAUGUUUAGAAUGGCAAACUAUUCCUUUAUCAUACACACACACACCUUCAUCAUUCAUUAAUACCAUUAAGAAACUAUUCAUUUAAUAAGCUCAAAAAAUAAUAAAAUAAUUAAUAAUUUAUCAGAUAUGAGCCUGUUUCACCAUAUUCUUAUAAGUGGUUAGUAUAAAAGUAAAAGCCACUUUAUAGCCACCAAAUUAGCCCACUACAGAGCCAGGCCUUCCAAAUAAAAGUGAACACGAGUCUCCUCUUAGAAUGGGAGGCCUUAGUCCACCAUGCUGGCCCAAUGCGGAUUGGCAGACUUCACACACGUAGAGCUACUUAACAUAAAUAUUUUCCUACCUAAUUCUGUAUUCAGUAUUCAGUAUUUGUUAUCCGGCCAAACAUCUAGCCUUUUGAUCUCUAUACAAAUAUAGACUUCUUAUUUGUCGUUUUGUUAUUCAAAUUCGUAAGAUUGCGUAAAGAAAAUCUAUGUUGUAUUGUUUGCAGUUAGCAUUUAUCACUGCGUCGUUAAAUAUUGUUAAAAGAUCUAGUAUUAAGUUUGUUUAUAUAAGAAUUUUGUUCAUUUAAUUUAUCAAUUUAUACCUACUUCAUAAGUGUAAUUUUAAACAAAAUAAAACAUUAUAUUCAUGAUUUUUGCAAUAUGUAAGAUAUAAUACGUAUAAGCACCUAAAUUAAUAUAUUUUAUUGGACACCAUUGGUCUAUAACAGGGUUAAAUACAUAAGAGUGUAUCGAGUCGGAAUAUAUUUAUUUAGAACUGCAAAUUGCCCUUGAAAUACUAUGAACUUCUUCAGUCUACGAGUAACUGCAUAUCAACUGCAAUUUCAAAACUGCUUUUGCAUAGAGUUCAUUCAAAUGUAAUCCGUGGAUUUUAAUUUGUGUACAUUAGUCACUUUAUAGGAUUUACAAUAAUUGUUAUGUUUUUUUAUUUAGUUCGAAUUUUUAUUUAUGCCAGCGAAUUACAGGUAUUGAAAGUCUCAUUGCAGAUAAUACGAAUACCCGUUUAUAUUCGUUGAUAAAUAUUUACAUACUGAAAUACUUUAAGUAGGUACUCGUACUCGUAUCUACUACUAAAUAAAUAUUUAUAUGUAUUUUAAUAAAUAUCUUUUAUUAGAUUUAAGCUGGUUUUCUAAAUAAAAUAAAAUUAAAUGUGUAAAAUAUGA